rnacentral:rRNA from 1 species
GACGAACGCUGGCGGCGUGCUUAACACAUGCAAGUCGAACGGAGAACGAGGGAGCUUGCUCUCCCCGGCUCAGUGGCUAACGGGUGAGUAACACGUGAGCAAUCUGCCCCGAACUCACGGAUAAGCUUUGGAAACGACGUCUAAUACCAGAUACGCCGCUGGAGGGCAUCCUCUCCGCGUGGCAAGAACUUCGGUUCGGAAUGAGCGGGCGGCCUAUCAGCUUGGUGGUGAGGUAACGGGUCGCCAAGGAGACGACGGGUAGCCGGCCUGAGAGGGUGACCGGCCACACACGGACUGAGAGACGGACCAGACACAUACGGGAGGGAGGAGUGAGGAAGAAAGCAUGAUGAACGCGAGCCAGCUGGAGGAACGCCGCGUGAGGGACGACGGCAUUAGGGUGGUAAGCAACUUUUAGCAGGGAAGGAGCGAAAGUGACGGUACCGGCAGAAAAAACACCGGCUAACUACGU